CUGCUGGUAAAGGUCAUUACGUAUUACUUUACUUACCGGAGGAAAAGAAACCAACAGGUAUUGCCUCAGUAACGGCGAGUGAAGCGGCAACAGCUCAAAUUUGAAAUCUGGCCCCCCGGGCCCGAGUUGUAAUUUGUAGAGGAUGCUUUGGGGCGGUCCCCUCCGAGUCCCCUGGAAUGGGGCGCCACAGAGGGUGAGAGCCCCGUUUGGUCGGAGACCAAGCCUUUGUAAAGCUCCCUCGACGAGUCGAGUAGUUUGGGAAUCCUGCUCAAAAUGGGAGGUAAAUUUCUUCUAAAGCUAAAUACUGGCCAGAGACCGAUAGCGCACAAGUAGAGUGAUCGAAAGAUGAAAAGCACUUUGAAAAGAGGGUUAAACAGCACGUGAAAUUGUUGAAAGGGAAGCGCUUGUGACCAGACUUGCGCCGGGCGGAUCAUCCAGCGUUCUCCGCUGGUGCACUCCGUCCGGCUCAGGCCAGCAUCGGUCUCCGGCGGGGGACAAAAGCUCCGGGAACGUGGCCUCUCCUCAGAGGUGUUAUAGCCCGGCUGCAGAAUACCCCGCCUCGGGGACCGAGGACCGCGCCCUCCGGGGCAAGGAUGCUGGCGUAAUGGUCAUCAGCGACCCGUCUUGAAACACGGACCAAGGAGUCGAGCAUUAGGGCGAGUGUAUGGGUGUAAAACCCGCACGCGUAAUGAAAGUGAACGUGGGUGAGAAGCUUUUUCUUUCACGA
rnacentral:rRNA from 1 species